GGUAACAUAUAUACUAGCUUGCUAGAAGAUAGACGAGUGGCGGACGGGUGAGUAAUGCUUGGGAACUUGCCUUUGCGAGGGGGAUAACAGUUGGAAACGACUGCUAAUACCGCAUAAUGUCUUCGGACCAAACGGGGCUUCGGCUCCGGCGCAAAGAGAGGCCCAAGUGAGAUUAGCUAGUUGGUAAGGUAACGGCUUACCAAGGCGACGAUCUCUAGCUGUUCUGAGAGGAAGAUCAGCCACACUGGGACUGAGACACGGCCCAGACUCCUACGGGAGGCAGCAGUGGGGAAUAUUGCACAAUGGGGGAAACCCUGAUGCAGCCAUGCCGCGUGUGUGAAGAAGGCCUUCGGGUUGUAAAGCACUUUCAGUUGUGAGGAAAAGUUAGUAGUUAAUACCUGCUAGCCGUGACGUUAACAACAGAAGAAGCACCGGCUAACUCCGUGCCAGCAGCCGCGGUAAUACGGAGGGUGCGAGCGUUAAUCGGAAUUACUGGGCGUAAAGCGCACGCAGGCGGUUUGUUAAGCUAGAUGUGAAAGCCCCGGGCUCAACCUGGGAUGGUCAUUUAGAACUGGCAGACUAGAGUCUUGGAGAGGGGAGUGGAAUUCCAGGUGUAGCGGUGAAAUGCGUAGAUAUCUGGAGGAACAUCAGUGGCGAAGGCGACUCCCUGGCCAAAGACUGACGCUCAUGUGCGAAGUGUGGGUAGCGAACAGGAUUAGAUACCCUGGUAGUCCACACCGUAAACGCUGUCUACUAGCUGUGUGUGCCUUUAAGCGUGCGUAGCGAAGCUAACCGCUAAGUAGACCGCCUGGGGAGUACGGCCCGCCAAGGGUAAACUCAGAUGAUAUGACGGGGGCCCCGCACAA
rnacentral:rRNA from 1 species